GACGAACGCUGGCGGCGUGCUUAACACAUGCAAGUCGAACGAUGAAGCCGAGCUUGCUCGGUGGAUUAGUGGCGAACGGGUGAGUAACACGUGAGCAACCUGCCCCUAACUCUGGGAUAACGCUUCGAAAGGAGUGCUAAUACCGGAUAUGAGCCUGGAAGACAUCUUCUGGGUUGGAAAGUUUUUCGGUUAGGGAUGGGCUCGCGGCCUAUCAGCUUGUUGGUGAGGUAAAGGCUCACCAAGGCGACGACGGGUAUCCGGCCUGAGAGGGCGACCGGACACACUGGGACUGAGACACGGCCCAGACUCCUACGGGAGGCAGCAGUGGGGAAUAUUGCGCAAUGGGCGAAAGCCUGACGCAGCGACGCCGCGUGAGGGAUGAAGGUCUUCGGAUUGUAAACCUCUUUCAGCAGGGACGAAGCGAAAGUGACGGUACCUGAAGAAGAAGCACCGGCUAACUACGUG
rnacentral:rRNA from 1 species